GAACGCACCGGGCUUAGCAGCAGCUCGACCGCAGCGCUGUAAGAUGACGUAUUAAGAGCUACAAUGGUAGCGAGUAGUAUGAAA